rnacentral:rRNA from 1 species
UACGGAGGGUGCAAGCGUUAUCCGGAUUCACUGGGUUUAAAGGGUGCGUAGGAGGGCAGGUAAGUCAGUGGUGAAAUCCUAGAGCUUAACUCUAGAACUGCCGUUGAUACUCUCUGUCUUGAAUGUCGUGGAGAUGAGCGGAAUAUGUCAUGUAGCGGUGAAAUGCUUAGAUAUGACAUAGAACACCAAUUGCGAAGGCAGCUCGUUACACGAAGAUUGACUCUGAGGCACGAAAGCGUGGGGAGCAAACAGG